AUUGAACGCUGGCGGCAGGCUUAACACAUGCAAGUCGAGCGGAGAUGAGGUGCUUGCACCUUAUCUUAGCGGCGGACGGGUGAGUAAUGCUUAGGAAUCUGCCUAUUAGUGGGGGACAACAUUCCGAAAGGAAUGCUAAUACCGCAUACGUCCUACGGGAGAAAGCAGGGGAUCUUCGGACCUUGCGCUAAUAGAUGAGCCUAAGUCGGAUUAGCUAGUUGGUGGGGUAAAGGCCUACCAAGGCGACGAUCUGUAGCGGGUCUGAGAGGAUGAUCCGCCACACUGGGACUGAGACACGGCCCAGACUCGUACGGGAGGUAGCAGUGGGGAAUAUUGGACAAUGGGGGGAACCCUGAUCCAGCCAUGCCGCGUGUGUGAAGAAGGCCUUAUGGUUGUAAAGCACUUUAAGCGAGGAGGAGGCUACUGAGACUAAUACUCUUGGAUAGUGGACGUUACUCGCAGAAUAAGCACCGGCUAACUCUGUGCCAGCCGCCGCCGUAAAAC
rnacentral:rRNA from 1 species